rnacentral:rRNA from 1 species
AACGUAGGGGGCGAGCGUUGUCCGGAUUUAUUGGGCGUAAAGCGCGCGUAGGCGGUUCGGUAAGUCGGGUGUGAAAAUCCGGGGCUCAACCCCGGACCUGCAUUCGAUACUGCCGGGCUGGAGGCAGGUAGGGGAGAGUGGAAUUCCUGGUGUAGCGGUGAAAUGCGCAGAUAUCAGGAGGAACACCGGUGGCGAAGGCGGCUCUCUGGACCUGUCCUGACGCUCAGGCGCGAAAGCUAGGGGAGCAAAACGG